UUCCGGUUGAUCCUGCCGGAGGCGACCGCUUUUGGAGUUCGAUUAAGCCAUGCGAGUCUAAGGGGUACUUGUACCCCUGGCAUAAUGCUCAGUAACACGUGGAUAAUCUACCCUUAGGUGGGGCAUAAACCCGGGAAACUGGGGCUAAUACCCCAUAGAUACAGAAGGCUGGAACGCCUCUGUAUUCAAAGCUCCGGCGCCUAAGGAUGAGUCUGCGACCUAUCAGGUAGUAGUCAGGGUCACGACCUGACUAGCCAACGACGGGUACGGGGUGUGAGAGCACUUGCCCGGAGAUGGUUUCUGAGACACGAAACCAGGCCCUACGGGGCGCAGCAGGCGCGAAAACUUCGCAAUGCGGGAAACCGUGACGAGGGAACUCCAAGUGUCUAUGCAAUGCAUAGACUGUUUUUCAGCCUAAAUAGCUGUUAGAGUAAGGGGUGGGUAAGACCGGUGCCAGCCGCCGCGGUAACACCGGCACCUCGAGUGGUAGCCACUAUUAUUGGGCCUAAAGCGUUCGUAGCCGGUUUAGUAAAUUCUUGGGUAAAUCGUACAGCUUAACUGUGCGGAUUCCGGGGACACUACUAGACUUGAGACCGGGAGAGAUUAGAGGUACUUGCAGGGGAGCGGUGAAAUGUUGUAAUCCUGCAGGGACCACCAGUGGCGAAGGCGUCUAAUCAUAACGGCUCUGACGGUGAGGAACGAAACCCUGGGGCGCAAACGGGAUUAGAUACCCCGGUAGUCCAGGGCGUAAACGCUGCUGACUUGGUGUUGGAGAUCCUACGAGGGUGUCCAGUGCUGGCGCGAAGGUAUUAAGUCAGCCGCCUGGGGAGUACGGUCGCAAGACUGAAACUUAAAGGAAUUGGCGGGGGAGCACUGCAACGUGUGGAGCGUGCGGUUUAAUUGGAUCAACGCCGGA
rnacentral:rRNA from 1 species